GACGAACGCUGGCGGCGUGCUUAACACAUGCAAGUCGAACGGAAAGGCCCUGCUUUUGUGGGGUGCUCGAGUGGCGAACGGGUGAGUAACACGUGAGUAACCUGCCCUUGACUUUGGGAUAACUUCAGGAAACUGGGGCUAAUACCGGAUAGGAGCUCCUGCUGCAUGGUGGGGGUUGGAAAGUUUCGGCGGUUGGGGAUGGACUCGCGGCUUAUCAGCUUGUUGGUGGGGUAGUGGCUUACCAAGGCUUUGACGGGUAGCCGGCCUGAGAGGGUGACCGGCCACAUUGGGACUGAGGUGCGGCCCUGACUCCUACGGGAGGCAGCAGUGGGGAAUAUUGCACAAAGGGCGGAAGCCUGAUGCAGCAACGCCGCUUGCGGGAUGACGGCCUUCGGAUUGUAAACCGCUUUCGCCUGUGACGAAGCGUGAGUGACGGUAAUGGGUAAAGAAGCACCGGCUAACUACGUG
rnacentral:rRNA from 1 species